rnacentral:lncRNA from 1 species
AUCAGGAAUUCUUCCUAUUAUUCUGCUGUUGCUGUGUGUCCUGGAGAUCCUGCAGCUUUGGAUCAGCAGCACUGGCCCUAUUUAUGCUUCCCAACUGUUCACAGAUGCUAUAAAUUUUGGGAUGAGCCAACUCUGAUGGAUCUAGUGGUAGCUGAGCUGGUCAGCACAUUGACUCUCCCUUAUGAGGUCCACCAGGACAAGCCCUCCAGCACUGCUCCAGCCAGACCACCUAAUGUCCAUCACCAAGAGGCAGGCAGGGACCACUUGGAUUUUUGAGAGAAAAACAGUACUCUGAUUGUGGUCAGAGGAAGCUUGGAAUGGAUAGUGAUUAACAGGAUGCAGCAGUGUUAACUGGGAAGACAGAUAGAUACAUUGACACAGAGACAAGAAUGUCAACAUCCUCUAAAAGCUGAAAGAGGCAGGGUUCUGAGAUCAAAGCCUUGGCCAUGGUAGAAAAGUUCUACAAUUAAAGCUACAGUCUCAGCCCACAUCCUCCUCCCCCGUAUGGAAAAUGAAGGAUAGAAGGAAGGACAAGGAGAGAUGGAGGAGAGAGAUCUUACAGGCUUUCAAGUCUAAGGUCUAAUUUGCAGUUUGGUGACCCUGAAUCUAUACCACUGUGGUGAACAUGCUGUGAAGACAGGAAAUCUUUCUCUACACCGUGCAUGCUCUCUGAACUCCAUAAUUGGAAAAAGAUUCAGAGAACAAUACGAACAUUUGCAAAGGAGAAAAUCUUCUCUCAUGAAUGUGUGGUGUGACUUCUUUUUAAAUUCGGCUGUCAUUCUUUUCUUCUACAAAGAAAACCGUACCAUUAAUUCCAGCUGGUAACUCCUCACAAAGACAAUUUUAAUUUGAAACAGGGUGGGUUUGUAUGUUGUUAUUGUUGUUGCUUAAUAAUACUAAGCCUUCUAAUUUUUGCGGCCCCAUUCUGAACAUGAGUUUGCUGGUGGAGAAGAUUGCAUGACACACAUAAAAGUGGGCGAGGAAGAGGAACAAGAAGGAAAUGGAAGAGGCCUUCAGAUGAAGAUGUUGAACUCUCAGUUCUUCCUGCACCAUGCCUGCCUGGAUGCUGUCAUGCUCCUGCCUUGAUGAAAAUGAACUGAACCUCUGAACUGCAUACUAUGCCAAGAAAAUGCAGGCCUUUGGUCAGUAUCCCACUGAGAGCCCUCCUUCGUACCAGUGGACAUCACUUGUUUUUAGGGGCUAUGCAAAGCUACUAAUACCAAUUUCUAGUCCCUCUCUUUCCAGAGUUAUUACAAAAGCAGCAAAGAGAAAUAUGGAAUCUCAAGCAACAUUCUCUAUGCAAGUAGAGUCAUGCCACCUGAACAACUGAUACAGUUUUGAAGAAUUAAACUAGAGUUAUAAGUGUCCCCAAAAU